AGCGAACGCUGGCGGCAGGCCUAACACAUGCCAGUCGAACGGACCCUUCGGGGUUAGUGGCGGACGGGUGAGUAACACGUGGGAACGUGCCUUUAGGUUCGGAAUAGCUCCUGGAAACGGGUGGUAAUGCCGAAUGUGCCCUUCGGGGGAAAGAUUUAUCGCCUUUAGAGCGGCCCGCGUCUGAUUAGCUAGUUGGUGAGGUAACGGCUCACCAAGGCGACGAUCAGUAGCUGGUCUGAGAGGAUGACCAGCCACACUGGGACUGAGACACGGCCCAGACUCCUACGGGAGGCAGCAGUGGGGAAUCUUGCACAAUGGGCGAAAGCCUGACGCAGCCAUGCCGCGUGAAUGAUGAAGGUCUUAGGAUUGUAAAAUUCUUUCACCGGGGACGAUAAUGACGGUACCCGGAGAAGAAGCCCCGGCUAACUUCGUG
rnacentral:rRNA from 1 species